AACCAAGAGAUUGAGUUGUAUUUUACGGUAAAAAGACAGUUAAGCAGUUAAAUGUAAAGUUUAUUCAUUACGCUAUUAGGAGGUAGAAUUCGAAGAUAGCUGAAUAUAUCAAAUAGAACAAAUGUGCUGAAGCUGUGAUAACUUUGAGGGAAACUAGGAUUAGAUACCCUACUAUUCAUAGAAAUAAAUUAGAAACUUUCUACCAGAGCACUAAGAACAAAAAAUUUAAAACUCAAAGGGCUUGGCGGUGUUUUAGACUACUUAGGGGAACCUGUCUCAUAAUCGACAAUCCACGUUAAACCUAACCUUAUUUUGCAUUCAGUUUGUAUACCGUCGUCGCCAGGUAACUUUUAAGAUAUGAACAGUUAGCUAAUAAAUUUUUAAAUUAAGACGUCAGAUCAAGGUGCAGCUAACGAAAAGGUGCGGAUGGGUUACAAUUAUAUAUUAAUAACAACCAAUAAUAAACUUUAAAGGUAAUUAAGAAGGAGGACUUAAAAGUAAAAUAGAUUAUAUAAAUAUCUUGAAUAAAGCUCUGAAACGUGC
rnacentral:rRNA from 1 species